rnacentral:rRNA from 1 species
AGUAAUGUAUGGGGAUCUGCCCGAUAGAGGGGGAUAACUACUGGAAACGGUGGCUAAUACCGCAUAAUGUCUACGGACCAAAGCAGGGGCUCUUCGGACCUUACACUAUCGGAUGAACCCAUAUGGGAUUAGCUAGUAGGUGGGGUAAAGGCUCACCUAGGCGACGAUCUCUAGCUGGUCUGAGAGGAUGAUCAGCCACACUGGGACUGAGACACGGCCCAG